GAUGAACGCUAGCGGCAGGCCUAACACAUGCAAGUCGAGGGGUAGAGGAAGCUUGCUUCCUUGAGACCGGCGCACGGGUGCGUAACGCGUAUGCAAUCUACCUUUUACAGAGGGAUAGCCCAGAGAAAUUUGGAUUAAUACCUCAUAGUAUAUAUCAUUCGCCUGUUUGAUAUAUUAAAGUUCCAACGGUAAAAGAUGAGCAUGCGUCCCAUUAGUUGGUUGGUAAGGUAACGGCUUACCAAGACGAUGAUGGGUAGGGGUCCUGAGAGGGAGAUCCCCCACACUGGUACUGAGACACGGACCAGACUCCUACGGGAGGCAGCAGUGAGGAAUAUUGGUCAAUGGACGCAAGUCUGAACCAGCCAUGCCGCGUGCAGGAAGACGGUCCUAUGGAUUGUAAACUGCUUUUGUACGGGAAGAAACACUCCUACGUGUAGGAGCCUGACGGUACCGUAAGAAUAAGGAUCGGCUAACUCCGUGCCAGCCGCCGCGGUAAAAC
rnacentral:rRNA from 1 species